rnacentral:rRNA from 1 species
GCCAGACUCCUACGGGAGGCAGCAGUGAGGAAUAUUGGUCAAUGGGCUUACGCCUGAACCAGCCAAGUCGCGUGAGGGAAGACUGCCCUAUGGGUUGUAAACCUCUUUUGUCGGGGAGCAAAAGACGCCACGUGUGGCGUUCCGAGAGUACCCGAAGAAAAAGCAUCGGCUAACUACGUGCCAGCAGCCGCGGUAAUACGUAGGGGGCAAGCGUUAUCCGGAUUUACUGGGUGUAAAGGGAGCGUAGACGGCAGCGCAAGUCUGAAGUGAAAUGCCGGGGCUUAACCCCGGAACUGCUUUGGAAACUGUGCAGCUAGAGUGCAGGAGAGGUAAGUGGAAUUCCUAGUGUAGCGGUGAAAUGCGUAGAUAUUAGGAGGAACACCAGUGGCGAAGGCGACUUACUGGACUGUAACUGACGUUGAGGCUCGAAAGCGUGGGGAGCAAACAGGAUUAGAUACCCUUGUA